rnacentral:rRNA from 1 species
UACGAAGGGGGCUAGCGUUGCUCGGAAUCACUGGGCGUAAAGCGCACGUAGGCGGACUCUUAAGUCGGUGGUGAAAUCCUGGAGCUCAACUCCAGAACUGCCUUCGAUACUGAGAGUCUCGAGUCCGAGAGAGGUGAGUGGAACUGCGAGUGUAGAGGUGAAAUUCGUAGAUAUUCGCAAGAACACCAGUGGCGAAGGCGGCUCACUGGCUCGGUACUGACGCUGAGGAGCGAAAGCCAGGGGAGCAAACGGG